AUUGAACGCUGGCGGUAUGCUUAACACAUGCAAGUCGAACGGUAACAGGCCUUCGGGCGCUGACGAGUGGCGGACGGUGAGUAACGCGUAGGAAUCUGCCUCAUAGUGGGGACAACGUGGGGAAACUCACGCUAAUACCGCAUACGCCCUACGGGGAAAGCGGGGGAUCUUCGGACCUCGCGCUAUGAGAUGGGCCUGCGUUAGAUUAGCUAGUUGGUAGGGUAAAGGCCUACCAAGGCGACGAUCUAUAGCUGGUCUGAGAGGACGAUCAGCCACACUGGGACUGAGACACGGCCCUAGACUCCUACGGGAGGCAGCAGUGGGAAUAUUGGACAAUGGGGCGCAAGCCUGAUCCAGCAAUACCGCGUGUGUGAAGAAGGCCUUAGGGUUGUAAAGCAC
rnacentral:rRNA from 1 species